AAGUAAUAACUAUAUAUUUCAUGCGAGAUGGUAUUCUACUCUAGGAUUUAUUUGAAGCAAAAGUAUCUUCUUUCUUCAAAUCCUUGCUUGGCACUUGUAUUUUUGCCAAUCUAGCAACAUCUUUGGAAAGAAGUUCUUAAUUUAUCUAGUUGUUUUGUGUCACCAUUCAGUAUUUUGUACUCUUUGCAGUGUGAUUGUUGAAGCUUUGAAAAUGGACAGUCUGCAGAAAAUUUGCUCAUCAUUGGAGCCCAUUCUUCGAAGAGUUGUAAGAGAGCUUAAAACUUAUUCCACACCAGAGUUUUCUUAAAAUCAUUUUCCAGCAUUCUAUGAUCUGCCAAUUUAAGUUACUUAAUUUCAUUAAAGAAUUUGCACUUGAAGAAUCCACAACAUGCCCAUGUUAUCAUUUCUCACUUUGAUUUUCCAGUGCGACAUCUGAUUAUUGUAUAAAUACAUCUUUGACACCAUUAUUUGAGAUAAUACAUUUUUUAACUAGUUUGUUUGUGUACACAAGGAACUUAUUCAAUCAAAUAAUAUAAGAAGAUAAGCUCUAUUUUUUUAAUCUUGAUUAGUAUUUAAAGUUAAGUCAUGUCGUGUUGACUUUCUAUGUAAAUGAUGUUUGUUUGGAAGAAUUUGAGUGACACCUCUAAAUUACAUGUGUAAUAUACUAUAGUUAAAUUGCUCAUGUAGCAGAUAUUUCUCUCAUCUUGAGAUUCUAUAGAGAGAAAGAGAUCUGCAAAAGCGAUUGCCUCUUGUUGGUGACUGACAACCAGACAACCUGAGUCCUUUCCUAUUCAUUGGGAUGCUAAGUCUUCUCUAUGAGUGGUUUUCAGUCUCUAAAAAUUGCAUUCGGCUAAUUUGUAAAUCUAUCUAUAGUUUGGUCAGAUAAUUAAUGCUUAAGAUUGUUUGAAUCCUUUUAUUCUUAAGUUAGUGUAAAGUAUCUCUUUCUUUUUGUCUGAUUGCUUUGGAUAUAUGUUGUGAUUUGUAAAACUUCAUUUCUUUAUUCCAUAAUUGUGUUGUUUUCUCAUUCUGUUGGAUGUUGAAACAUGGCCCCUAAAAAUUAUUCUCGAUCUUUUUCUAUGACAUUGAUAACUCACCUUCUAUGAACUUUCAAUUUUUUGGUCUCGAAGUUCUAUAUUCUGAAUGGACCCUAUUUAUUAGUAAUAUCUGAUGUUUCUUCUUGACAAUCUGAUGCUGUAUGGUGCUUCAUUAGGUCAGUGAAGAAGUUGAACGAGCCUUAGCAAAGCUAAGUCCUCCAAAAAUUGGUGGAAGGUAAGACAUAUUAUGACAUCAUACAUCAUGAAUCAGAUGGAUUCUUUGAGAAUGAACUUAUUUUGGAUUUUUUUUCCUCUGCAUGGAAUUAUAAGUGACUAAGAUGUUAUAACCAAAUAGUUAUGUUGCCAUGCUUUCUGAUACAAUCUUUCCGGUAAAAUAUCUGAAAGCAUGUCAAGUUUCUUGUGAACUUGUUACAGGCUGCACAACAAGUGUUUAAAUUUAAUGAAAUGAAGGAUGGUUGAGACAGAUAACAGCUGUAUAUUAUGAUUUUUAAAUUGUUGUCCUAGAGUCUGAUUGCUAGAAUUUUAAUUUAUGGUCAUUCUGCUUAACAGAUUGUAGUCUAUUUUUCAGAAGCUACUAUAGACAUAUAUAGGCAUGAUGUUAUUUUCCUACCGAGAAUUUUAUGUAUCUUAUAUUAAAAGGAAAACAAAAUUAUUAACAUUUGCUUGGUUUAGCAAAAAAAGCUGCAAAAAGUCAUGCAAACACACUAUGAUUAUGAUUUUCAUACAAUCUUUAUGAUUAUACAAGCGGCACUGUUUCUUCAUCCCUUUGUGACCAAGUAAGCUGUCUUUUUAAUCUUGGACUUUUAGAUUUUGUUUUGUGUGCCACUGUCAGUAUCAGAUUGCUUUGGGGAGACUAUAGUAAAUGAAGAGUGCAUUACAUCACAAACAGCAAUAUGAAGCAAAAGUCUGCAAGGUAAUAAGUUAUAAGAAAACAGGAACAAACUUUUCUGUUACAGCAGAAAUAAUGGAGUAUGACGAAAGAAGUGAAACAUGAGGAGAACAAAGAGUAAGUUAUGACUGGGUUACCAAAUUUGUUUGAUGAAAAUGCAUUCUGUAAGAAUGAUCUUUGCUGCACAUCUUUCUGUUUUAAGUCUAACCACAUACUGUUCCUAUAAAAGAUAGGAGUCCUUAGGGAUAAAAGUAGGUAAUAAAGGUAGUUGACCAAAUCGGAUAAAGAUCAUAAUCAGAAAGUACCCAAUCAAUUACAAAAAUUUCAUAAGUGGAAUACAACUAAAUAAGCUCAUGUCUAAUGAUAUCUAGCUUUGUGAAGAUGUUCUAAAGUUGUGAUAAUAUUGCCUUGUAAAUUGAGAAUAGGCCAAUUAAUCUAAUUAACUCAAACAAGAAUUAAUAGAACUCUGCACAAACCUAACUUUAAGACUUGCUUUAUCAUAUUCAAGCCAUUCAAUUUCAGUCCAUCUUGUUAGUCUUUGCUUGUUAGUUGUGAUGUUUCCCAGUAAUUGAUGUGCACAUCUAAGAAAGAUUAUUUCCUUCAGUUUGUUGCUUAUUGUUUGAAGAAAUAUUAGCUUCAUUUUUAUCUUCCGAUAGUAAAGAACUGAUUCAUCAUCUAGCCUAUAAGAAGUUCACCAAUUCAUCUUCUAGCCUAUGAGAAGUUCAUUGUCGCAGCAUCAUUUCUCUGAGGGGUAGAUUUGGUAAUUUUCCAGAUUUAAUAGUUUUAAGGGUAUUCUUGGAAUCAUCAAAUUUCAGAAUUGGUCCUGCAACUCAGCUCUUCCACUUGGACAUAUGAGUUAUCCUAUGCCUAAUAUGCAUCUUUGACUAUUUAUGCUUGUUUCGAUUCCUGGAUUAGGUGCUUUAUGAAUAAAGACUAGCAUUAUUGUUUGUUGUUUUGCUUCAAUCUUCUUGUUCUCCAAUUCAUAUGCAAAACUAGAAGUUGUAGUCCUUGAGGGUGAUUUUAGCAAUGAAGACAAUGAUGAUUGGACAGAAGAAGAGUUUGACAGUCAUGUAGUGAAAGAACGCGAAGGAAAAAGGCCUCUUUUGAUUGGAGACUUAUACGUCUCAUGGAAAGAAGGUAUAGGAACCCUUGGAGAGCUCACAUUUCCAGACAAUUCUAGUUGGAUACGGAGUAGGAAAUUUAGGCUUGGACUGAAGAUUGCUUCAGGUUUUUGUGAUGGUAUUCGAGUCCGUGAAGCGAAAACAGAAGCUUUCACUGAAAGGACCACAGAGGGGAAUUGGACAAGAAACACUAUCCACCUGAAUUGAAAGAUGAAGUCUGGAGAUUGGAAAAGAUUGGUAAGGAUGGUUCAUUCCACAAGAGGUUGAAUAAAUAUGGACUCUUUACAGUUGAAGACUUUCUCAGACUUAUUGUUAGGGAUCCCCAGAAACUCCGCAAGGUUCUUGGAACUGCUAUGCUGAUGAACACUAUCGCAACUGCUAUGCUGAUGAACACUAUCUUCUUGACCUUAACCAGGUUUUGAUAGUCGCAACUGCUAUGCUGAUGAACACUAUCUUCCAACUCUAUUGAAU